GACGAACGCUGGCGGCGUGCUUAACACAUGCAAGUCGAGCGGUAAGGCCCUUUCGGGGUACGACGAGCGGCGAACGGGUGAGUAACACGUGGGUGACCUGCCCUCAGCUCUGGGAUAAGCCUGGGAAACCGGGUCUAAUACUGGAUAUGACUCCAUGACGCAUGUUGUGGGGUGGAAAGCCUUGUGCGGCUGAGGAUGGGCCCGCGGCCUAUCAGUUUGUUGGUGGGGUGAUGGCCUACCAAGGCGACGACGGGUAGCCGGCCUGAGAGGGCGACCGGCCACACUGGGACUGAGACACGGCCCAGACUCCUACGGGAGGCAGCAGUGGGGAAUCUUGCGCAAUGGGCGAAAGCCUGACGCAGCGACGCCGCGUGAGGGAUGACGGCCUGGUGUAACC
rnacentral:rRNA from 1 species